rnacentral:rRNA from 1 species
CCUACGGGUGGCAGCAGUGAGGAAUAUUGGUCAAUGGGCGAGAGCCUGAACCAGCCAAGUCGCGUGAAGGAUGAAGGAUCUAUGGUUUGUAAACCUCUUUUAUAUGGGAGUAAAGCGAGGAACGUGUUCCUUUUUGUAUGUACCAGAUGAAUAAGCAUCGGCUAACUCCGUGCCAGCAGCCGCGGUAAUACGGAGGAUGCGAGCGUUAUCCGGAUUGAUUGGGUUUAAAGGGUGCGUAGGGGGUGAAUGAAGUCAGCGGUUAAAGUUUGGGGCUCAACCAUAAAAUUGCAGUUGAAACUGGAUGUCUUGAGUACGGUAGAGGUAUGCGGAAUUCGUGGUGUAGCGGUGAAAUGCUUAGAUAUCACGAAGAACUCCGAUUGCGAAGGCAGUUCACUGGACUGCAACUGACGCUCAGGCACGAAAGUGUGGGUAUCGAACAGGAUUAGAUACCCCAGUAGUC